ACCACUCAAUCUACAACAACCAAAUUCGCUUAUAACAAAUUCUUUAAGAACCUCUACCGUCAGUGAGAAAAUUGAUGAAAUCGAAUUAUAAUCCCGCCUUCUACCCUUAUAACAUUUUUACACCUGAGAUGGAACGAGAGAGUUUUAUAGGAGUAGAUGCAAAUUUGGACGAUGGGCGUGGCACCGCCCACAUUUAGAAGGAAGUCCAUAUCUCGAAACCAAUAUACUAGACCGAUUUCAAACAAAUUUGGUACGUAAUAUUACCCUGACAUUUCUACAUUAAAUUCCAUCUCAUUCUUUUACUUGUAUCCAUCUAAUUCUUUUACAACGUAUCCGGAUAAAAAAUUUUUUGUGUAAAGUAUAUCAUCUUACGCCUAAAAAUUGUGGAAAUCGAACUAUAAAUUUUUAAGAACUCAGACGAGAAAUAUGUGGAAACCAGGGAUAAGAAAGUCGACUCUGACUUUAGUCAAGAAUCGAUCUUUUAAUGAAAAUAAUCGACUUUUUAGAGUCGAGUUGAACAUGUCUCCAGUCGAUAAAAGUCGAUUCUCACUCGAUGACUUCGACUUUUUCUUAAACAGUUGUUAUGGUAGUAUAGUGAAAGUUGUAAAAAGUUACUCAAGUUGUCUUCCUUGCACUUGUUUGCAUUGUAUUAGAAACUGAGAAGCUGGUUGCUGAUUGGAUCAUAAAAAUAAAUAUCAUCGCUGGUAUUCUUGCACACCAACUAUGAUGAAAAACCUGCAUACAUCUCAUAAAAUGUAUGAACAAACAAAGAGACUCACGGAAAAGACCAAACGGUGUAGAAACAGAUUUAAUGAUUCAAAGUAAAAAGGCUUUGGUGGCUAUUGAAUUACCUGCUUUCUAUAGAAAAUAAAAGCACUCUUCUUUUCAGUCAACUUCCUUACUCAAACUUAAUACUUAUCAGGGGCCUCAUGAUCGCUGUAUAAAUAUAUCUACUUCUUUUGUCGGUAUUCAAUAGUUUAAUUUUUCGACAUGAGUUAAAGAAAUAAAUUAUUGACUAAUAAAUAUAUUAUUUGUCACUUAUCAGCUGGAGGUUGGAAACAUAACCAAGUAUCAACAGCUCUUGUUCGCAUGAUCGCUAUUGAUAAUAUGCCGUUAUCAACUCCAGAAAGAGUGGGAUUCAAAGCGUUUCAUCUGUUAUUUUUAUAAGGAGUUUGAAUGAAAAACUUUGAGCUAAGCGCUUAUCAUUUGAAAGAGCGUAAAACGAUUGAAAAUUUGACGUCUAAAUUAAGAGAAAUAUGUUAUGCCUGGGGUCUAAGUGAUGCGAAAAAAGCUGCAUUUUUUUCUGACGGAGGAUCUAAUAUUAAGGGAGCCAAUAAAAGUGAAUUCGACAUUCAAAAACACAUUUCGUGUAUUGGACAUGUCAUCAACAAUAUUGGACAAAGACUGAUUGACAUAAAUGUAACCCCACCAGGAUCUGAAUCUGAAGAUCAAACUUCCUUUAUAUGAAGACGAUAUUAUUGAUGAUUCAAACAUUUUAGACCCUGAAAAAACUACUGAGCAAAAAACAUUACGUGAUCUGUUGACAAAAGUUAAAAAAAUUAUAAUAUUUUUUAGACACAGUGAAAGAGCUACAACUGAGUUGUUGCACUUACAAAACAAGUUACCAGAAUUAAAGCGUCUUAAACUUAUACAGGAGGUAAAGACAAGAUGGAAUUCGUGUUAUGAAAUGGUUAAUCGUUUUAUUUUACUUGCCGACUAUGUUUAAUAGGUACUUCUUCAGAUUAAAUUGGACAAAUCGUCAAAAGCUAAGCCUCCUAAUAUGAUUACAGGAGAUGAGCUUGAAUAUUUAAUUAAAAUUCGCGAUGUCUUAAGUCCUGUUUGUAAAGUUACGCAAGAAGUUUGCUCCGAAAAAAAUGUUACAUUAAAUAAAUGUAUCCCUUUGAUUGCUGGUCUUGAAAAAGGAAGUUUGAUUAAAAUUAUUUUGAUUGUUGCAUGUUACAUUUACUUUGAUUCCUUUUUAAUUACAAUAAAAUUUAUAUUUGACAGAAAACUGAAGAUUUUAAGCCAUCCACUGUAUUAGGUCGAAAAUUACAAACAAAAACUCACUUAAGAAAUUGAAAAUAUAUAUGGAAGCAUUGAAUCGGUGAAAUUGGUUGAAGUGCGCCUUCUAUAGUAUUCGAGAAUCUACUCGUUGGAGAUUUUAUUUACUAAUUUCAAAUAAUAGUAAACUAUAUCCAUAAAUUAAUUUCCUUUUUCAUUUUAUUUUCAUUAUCAGGCGAUCUGGUUAGGAUUGAGAGAAAGGUAGCAUUACAGGCAACGGAUUCUUCUGUAAUACUUGACGAUGAAGAAGUUACUCCAGUUAUUGAAGCCUAUCGCUUGAAGAAUCUCAAAAAGACGAAAAAGGCGAUGAUAACUGGUCAUAUUUCGAUGAAGCUGUCAAACGAAACCAGUCUCAAGCAGAUAUUGAUGAAGCGGGAGGAUUUCCGAUACAGUUACGUCAGUAUUUAAAUCGUUUAGUUGUGGCACGACUACAAGGCCCUUAUCCACUUGUUUUUUGGAAAUCAAUUAAAAUGAGUAUCCUCACUUAUGGAAUGUAUCGAGGAAAUUUCUAACAAUUGUACCCUGCGAAAGAUUAUUUUCCCAUGCUGGUUUCAUUGAUCAAUUAACGAAGACAUGUGGGAAUCUUAUCUUUUUAAAUUUCUAUGUCACAUGGCUACCUUACUAAGCUCUAAACUAAUAUUUUCAUAUUAUAUUAAUAAUUAAUAGUAAAUAUAUAUUUAAUUGUAACUUUAA